UGCGUAGGCGGUUCCGUAAGUUCGGUGUGAAAUCUCCCGGCUCAACUGGGAGGGUGCGCCGAAAACUGCGGUGCUUGAGCACGGGAGAGGAAAGCGGAAUUCCUGGUGUAGCGGUGAAAUGCGUAGAGAUCAGGAGGAACACCGGUGGUGUAGACGGCUUUCUGGACCGUUGCUGACGCUGAGGCACGAAAGCGGUGGGGAGCAAACA
rnacentral:rRNA from 1 species